rnacentral:lncRNA from 10 species
GUUGAGUCAGCAUUCUUUUUGAUUAACCAGACUAUUACACGUAAGGCAUUUAGCCUAACACAGCAUCUGAAUAAAUGUUUCUUCAAGUGAACUAAAGAGGAAGGGAACUAAUAUUUGCUGAGCAGAGCUUGACCCACUUAAAACUCACAGCAACCCUGCAAGGUGUUAUAUUUUGCUUUUAUAGAUUUCUUUCGAGACCCUUCCCAUCACCUAAAGAAUUUCUUUAAUAAUAAAUUAUAAACUUCAAAGUCCUCACUCAGAAGAUCACCAGAAACCAAAGUAUGAGAAAAAUUAACCACGUAUGGCAAGUACACUACUUAUCUUCAAAUUUUGAAUGUGUUUGAUUUUAAAUGACCUCAACCUCUACUUGUGCACUUAUUUUUCAGUGUAGUUGGUCAUAGUGAAUUAUUUCUGAAAUGGCAACACAAACAGCACCUCCAUAUAUGUAUGAAAACUGCAAAUAAAGAGCUGCUAAUUGUGAUUUGAGAUCUCAUCAGACCAAAUCUGGAGAAGCAUAUGAGAAAACCAGUGGCUGGAACCUAAAGAAAAGGAAGGUAUCCUGAUACAUAAAUACCUUUUGCCCUAUAUGUGGUAGUGAAGAAACAGAACUGUCUUAAGAAAUGGUUUAAAUUUCUUAAGCCUCUGCAGGGCCCACCUGAAUGGAGGGAAAUAGAACCCUGCAAAGCAAAGAAAGCAAGAUGUUUCUGCUGACAAUGAAAGAGAACAAGUUUCCCAACAACUUAAAAGGGGAUGAAAAGCAAAAUUUUGGAAAAAAACAACAUGGCAAAGGGCAUAUUACCCCGCAAUGGAUACCUAAGGACACAGUGUUCAGAAUUACUAAUAGUGCUAUCUCUAGGAACAAUUCAGGAAGCCAAAUUCAGGAAGUAUGAGAAUCUGAUAGGCAAAAAUUGUGAGAAGCCAAUUCAGGAAGUGUGAGAAUCUGAUAUGCAAAAACUGAGGCACCCUAUGGAACAUUUCUUAGAGACUAGGAUUCUUGGGGCAAAGGUAUUCCAGAGCAUAAGGCUGUGGAAGCAGCCAACUAAAGCACAGAGAAAAGAAGUGUAAGACCCUGCAGAGGAUGAAGAACACAGAGGAAAUAUCAGUGUAUGUGGAGAAGCCAGACCUUUCUUUGACAAUGCCCAGAGACCUGGUACCUGGUAUACCAUGGUCACAGGAAUUGGUACUUGUGGUCACUAAACAGAAACUCUACUUGAGUCAACAUUGAUUUUUUUGGAACACUAAAGGAAAAUAAAAAUUGAGCGGCUUUAAAUAUGUAAAUUAGUACUCAGAGGAAAUAGAGUGCCUUGGGACUUGAAUGUGGAGGAUAUCACCAUUUUGUAGGAAGAGAGGUUGUCUCAAAGUCCUCUUUUUGAUCAAAGAUGCCAAAAGCACAAGGAAGCUUGUCUUCAUGCAUAUGAAAUGAAUAGGGUCACACUUAACUUAUUGGUGGGCACUUCUCCCAAAUGAAGUUGAAUUUUCAGGUCAUCAACUCCCAGAAGACUAAAACCAACUGACUUAUUGAUCCCAAUACGGCUGAAAGAUUUUUUUUCUAUUACUUUUUUCUUUUUGCUCUUGAUUUUGUUUGGAAAAUGCUCUUGCUGCAAGAAUCACAUUGGCUUUAAAUUGUGUAGCUAUGGGUUUGCUGCUAUAUGUGUUCCAUUACUACUUUGGAACUUUGAAAAAUCAAAAGUGGACAAUGACAGAGUAGAAUUAGUUCACCUCUAGAGAUGCUGAAGGAGUGGCAUCUAUUAUUCUACUGCCACCUAUCUAAUACAUACUGUAAAUGCCAGAGGAACCAGGCAUCUGAAUGGGACUCCUCUUCAUUCAUUCACACAUUCAGCAAGCAUUUAUUGAACACAUUCAAGGUGCCAGGAAUUCUUCUAAAUUCUGGAGAAUAAUGAUGAGCAGAAACACAGUGCUUGGGGAGACUGACAAUAGCUGAAUAAUCACCCAAUGAAUGUAUGCUUUUCAAUAGAAACAGGAGUUCUAAAGGGAAGAAACAUUUGUAAUGUGAGAGCUUUUACCAAAAGAACCUGCAUCGGGGAAGGCUCUCCUGUGAAAAUGCUAUGAACUGCAAUCUACAGGAAGAGUAGAAUUUUAGUAGGGUUAAAGAGAGGAAGAGCUUUUGAGACAAAAACUGCCACAGAAAGGGCCUGAUAUGCUAAGAAUAUGAAUUAAACCAGUGCAGGUGGAAUGCAAAACAUAAGGUUGAGAUGGUAAGAGAUGAAGCUGGAGAGAGAGGCAUGGAUAAAGUCAUGUAGGACCUCAGAGGCCAUAUUAUAGACUUUAGUUUUUAUCUUAAGAGCAUUACAAAGCCACUGGAAAAUUUUAAACAAUGAGGUGAUGGGAACAGAUUUGCUUCUGAAAAGUUUGCUCCAAAAACACAACAGGCUGAAGGUGCAAGAAGUUAAGAAGCUGAAGCAUAAAUUUAAAGUAACUAUUGGAAUAGUACAGAUGAGAGAUGAAAGAAUCUUGAAUUAGGGCAUUAAAUGAAGAUAAAUUGAUGAAUUUUAGACAUUUUAUUAUAAAGAAGUAAUAGUGGACAGGACUUGAUUAUACACUAGAUAUUAGACUAUGGAAAGUAUCCAAGAUUGCUACUUGGUUUCUGACUUAAGUAAUUAAAUGGAUGAGCGCCGGUGUAAUUCACUGAGACAGGGAACACUGUAGGAAGCUUGGAGGGAGGAUCAUAAAUUCAAUCUGAGUUUGAGGAACUUUUGAGAUGUCUAAGUAGAUAUGCCAAGCAAUCACAAUAUAUGAGCCAGCAGCUCAGAUGAGAGGUUUCUGCUUGAGAAAUAAAUUUGCAACAUUUGGUUGUAUUAUUCAUAAGUCAGAAAUCAAGCCAUGGCUAUGAAUGAUACUGAAUAAGGAAAAAUUAUAUAGUGAAAGAAGGGAGCAUAGAACAGAGGCUCAUGGAACUUGAACAUUUAAUGUCUAGAUGGGUAAGGAUGAAUGUUCUUUCAAGGUGGCUGAGAAGGAGGGGCCAGAGAGGGAAGAGAAAAACCAAAGGAAUAUGGGCCCCUAACCUCUUAAUGCUUGGUUUUGAUGGUAUGAAGGUGUUUCAAGUAAAGAGGAUGUUUCUGAUAAAAAGUUGACUCCAAUUUCAAAUGUUUCUGAUGGAUUGUGUGAGAUGAGGAUUGAAAACUGCCCUUUGGAUUUAGUGAUAUGGAAGUCGAUGGUGAUUAGAUAGAGAGGUUUUAAUUUAAGAAGCCAGAAAGGAGUCAGUUGAGAGGUGAGAGGUGACAUAAUUAGACAAUGAAUUUAGACUACUUUUUCAAGAAAUUUUAAUACCAAGGGAAAGGGACAGAUAAUUUGGGAGCUGGAGAGGGUUGUGUGUGUGUAUGCAUGCAUGUGUGCUAAUAGGAAGCUUCUCAUAAUUUCACCUGUCCCCAUGAAAAGAAACUGUUGACUAUACAUAAGAGAGCUAUCUAAGGUUAACUAAGAAUUCUUUCUCUGAUCCAUUUCAGAGGCUUUGAGACAACAGCUGAAUUGCUCAUCUCAUUGUCUUAGAACAUAGAAAGAGCAGAGCUUGUAGAAGUGAACAGUCUCAUGUAUAUGGGCCAGGAGUUACCUCAUAAACUGCUAACCUUCUUUUUAACAGGACAUAGUUUAUUUUGAGCUUGACUAGGGGAAAAAGGGAUUUAGGCAGUGUAUCAAACUGUUCUUGCAUUGCUAUAAAGAAAUACCUGAAAGUGGG